CAGAAGGCGUAGGCUAUCGCUGGGCUUUAAAGGCCUGGAGGAAAGUCCGGACUCCGCAGGGUGACACAGGGGAUAACGUCCCCCCGCCGUAAGGUGAGGAACAGUGGAACAGAGAGAAUGUCUGGGGCAUAGAUCUGAAAAAUGGGAACGGGAGUUUUUCAGGGAGUCGCCAGAGUGAAAACAGCCAAACUCUGUGUGGAGCAAGGUCAAAUAGGAGAGCGAUAAGUGCGACCCGCACGUGCUCUCGGGUAGACUGCUUGAGGGCGCAAGUAAUUGCGCUCCCAGAGGAAUGAUAGCCCUCGACAGAAUCCGGCUUAUCGCGCUUUCAGCUUU
rnacentral:RNase_P_RNA from 2 species